GAAUUUUGCGCAAUGGGCGAAAGCCUGACGCAGCAACGCCGCGUGGAGGAUGAAGGCCUUCGGGUCGUAAACUCCUGUCAGGGGGGACGAAAUACCGGGCAACCGGUGCUGACUGUACCCCCGGAGGAAGCCACGGCUAACUCCGUGCCAGCAGCCGCGGUAAUACGGAGGUGGCAAGCGUUGUUCGGAAUUAUUGGGCGUAAAGGGCGCGUAGGCGGCUUGACAAGUUAGGUGUGAAAGCCCCGGGCUUAACCUGGGAACUGCAUCUAAAACUGUCUUGCUUGAGUCUUGGAGGGGGUAGUGGAAUUCCCAGUGUAGCGGUGAAAUGCGUAGAUAUUGGGAGGAACACCUGUGGCGAAGGCGACUACCUGGACAAUGACUGACGCUGAGGCGCGAAAGCUAGGGGAGCGAACGGG
rnacentral:rRNA from 1 species